ACACACACAUAGACACAGCAAAGGGAAGACUGAAGUUAAGCUUCAAAAUGGCAAUUUAAAAACCUUAACAUAUUCAACAGCCAUUCAGAACGCUACAUUAAACACAUAAACUCUGAAAACCCUUAGAAUAGCACGCGGAGAUAUUUAAAUAAUACCAGAACCCAUGAAGAGCUCUGAGCGCUGUAUGUUUACGUAGUGACAAUGCAAAGACGUAUUAUUAGACUUGGGGAAAAGACUGUGUGUCAAGGACUCAGUAGUGCAGCCGGUGGACACGGCCCAGUGACACUCAUCUGUCAGAGGCACGUCACUCUUACAAGUCAACGCCCACGUGGCUCUCACCAUAAAAUCCCUGGUGGACGGUGUAUUUUUAAAAUACGGAUCUAAAAGAGGUGCCUGGGAAGCCACUAGUUACAGAGAGUAGAGGGCAGGGGUCAUAAUUCCAGGUAGAAGAAACCUGCAGUGUUUUGAGGAAGACAAGCCAGAAGACAGAGUGUGUCACAGAGGAGGAAAUGCUUACUUAUCUUCUAAAACAAGCCCUUAGUAUUGAGUUUGGGGCUGUGCGAGACUACAGGCUGCCUGACCUGCAGGGGUUGGGCUCUGUAGGGAUGAGUUAGAGAAUGUUCUAGUUUCUAGGUUCAGAGGACUUACUGUAGCCAGCUAGAAAUCAUGGGAGGUUUUCUACCAAGGAGAAACACAAAGAUUUAGAUUUCCAUGUGCCCAGGAGCACGGGUGCACACACACAGACACACACACACACACACACAAACACACACACACACACACACACGUGUAUUGGAAGCAAUUGAAAGAAGUUACUAAUUUAUACAGAGAGAUAUGUCUCUCUGAAAUGUAUUCAUGUGCGUGUGCACAUGUAUAUGCAUGUGUGUAAGGAUGGGCGUAGAUUCAGGGACACCAAAGGACUAGCUUAGGUGUGAAGAAGACACCACACAUCUGCUCUUUGAUACAAGGAUUACCUCUGGCCUAGAGACUGCCUAGCACCUAAGACGGCCUGCUGGUGAGGCUGAGAUAUACAUUUGUCUCAGCCUCCCCAACAGUGGCAUGAUAGGUCUAUGCCGCCCAUCGGCUUGUUAGUGCAAACUCUGGGCAUUUCAUCGAGAUCGUAUGCUUGUAAGGCAAGCACUCUACCCUGCACCAUUACCUCCACCCAUAGAGGCUUACACUGUUAAAGAUCACUGGUGAGUUAUCAUUGAGACAAGGGGGCCUGCAACAGGACACAGAAGGAGAACUCUAGCCAGGCAGAGGUCAUCUUGUGUAGAGAAUGUGAUGGCUACUCCCAGCUGUCCACUUGACUACCUCUGGAAUGGACCACCAUCCAGAAAUCGAGGGUUCACCUGUGAUCCGGGUCUUGAGUCUGGAAGACACAGACUUCUAAUCUGGAUCUUGAGGGAUAGUGGCCAUGAAUGCUUAGGCCCAGGCAAGGUGGUACACACCUUUAAUCCCAGGAGACAGAGGCAAGCAGAUCUCUGAGUUUGAGACCAGCUUAGGACAGAGCAAGUUCCAGAAAAAGAACAGCUGUUUAAUUAUAUAUAUAAUUUUAGUCUUCUAGCAUAUAUGAUGGCCUUAUACAUUAGAUAUAUUUGACUAAGCUUUCUUAAUAAAAUCUCACUUUCUCUGGAAAUGAGGAAAUGGCAAGUUUUAUUCUCAGAAGAGAAUUUCUAAAGCAGAGAUUAAGAGAAUCAACCCUCUCUCUUUUCUCUUUAGCAUUUAUCAUGGACAUCUGAGGCUUGGCAAAAUCUACAGAGAUUUCCAAACACAGAGUCUCCGUCGUCCACAUCGAGUAGCUGGGGUAAGUGUCACAACAUGGACUUGGACAGAACUGUGAAAGGAAGCGAGGGUAUGUUUGACGUGGCGAGAUGCUUUCGUCAUAGAACUAAAGUCCAAGAGUUGCUUUAGGGAGGACCCAGCCAGGCCCCGCCUUUUAAAGAUAGAGCAGUGCCUUGACGUCUGCCUGAGAAAGUGGCUUGCCCAGCCACAGUUCCCCUGAGGGAAGGACUGGCUACUGUGGCGCUGAUGGAGGAACCUUUGGAAGCAGAGCGGAGCUCACUGGCUUCCCCAGCUCCCUAGAGCUCUCAGUGCCACAGAACGCGCAGUCAGAGAGAAAUGAUCAUAGAAACAACCCAGGGUACAGUGACUGGUGCUGGAAAGCGUGGGAAACUCCUGCCGGAACGGGAAAUCCACAGCCUUCUUUGAAAAGUAAGCUUCGAGCUACAGACUGUGGACUACAGAACUUUGAGAGCACCAGAAGGGAAAACGGGACAAGGAGAGGGCAAAGAGGGAGAUGAGAAGAAAGAAGGGCAGGAGGACGAGCGGGAGGGAGAGGGGGAGGAAGAGACGAGGAAUAACGGAGAAAAGUGGAGGGAAGGGGGUCCAAAGAGAGCCCCAGCUUUCAGCACAGCAUAUCUCACCCUAUAAUUUAGGCGCCCCACCCAAAUGCAAGAAGGGUGAGGCAGAUCCUCAAACUCAAUGGACACAGACCGCCAUCUUUAGCUCUGUCUCGUGGUCUGAGAGUAUUUCUGAGACGUCGAUCAGAGUUCUGAGAUCACUCGACAAAAUGCCCUGAUUUGAAAAACAAAAUCACCUUUUUAUCCUUAAUUUUUCCAACACGUCUUUAAUUAAGUCAGUGCUAAGAACCUCUGCCUAUGUCUUCCCAUGUGGAACAAUGCUCAGACAACAGCGCUACACACAAAUCAUGCCAGUAAAGACCAUCAGAUGAGAGGCCUCUUUCUCCAUUUAUGUAGUGCGUAUUUUAUAGCAUGUAUAAGAUAAUACUCCUGUCUCGUUUUACUUUUUGACAAUACAACCGGUUGUAACAAUUACUGUUCCCAAAGUUCCUGAGAUUUUAAUUAUGGGGGAGUGAAAUGAGUGAACACACAAGGUCACGUUAACGAAUUGUCAAGGAAAGAUGCUGCCUUCUCGUUACAGACCCCUCUGCCAGCAUGCAUAUGUCAUAUGGAACAGAGACGUCCUUCUGCUUCCUGCUCACCUCUCCUCCUCAUGGGCCCUUGCCUGCCUAGUCACAGGAUGGAGCCAAGAGCCUAAGUGCACCGCCUACCAGUGCCGGGUGAAUCCGCCUGGCUAUGAAGACACCCCUGUCCAUUUGCAAAAGACGAAUGGCUAGAUCUUCCAUGCAAUUGGACCAGAGAGGGUUUCCAUUAUAAAUCUCGGCUGAGAACAAACACAAAAAAGCAGUUGUGACUGCUGUAUAGCGUGUAUAGAGUACAGUAAACCUUGAAAUAAGUCCUGUUGAGUCCCCCUCACACGCACACCAGGUUAUAUGCUUCCUGCUCUGGGCUUUACUAUGGGCCUAGCACCAUGCAUGCACCUUCUUUGGGGAUAGAUUCCUAUUGUUUUUUUUCUUUUGGAAAUCUUCCUUAUAAGAUACUCAAUGCUAUACCUCUCUUGGGCAUAUACCCAAAAGAUGCCCCAACAUAUAAAAAAGACACGUGCUCCACUAUGUUCAUAGCAGCCUUAUUUAUAAUAGCCAGAAGCUGGAAAGAACCCAGAUACCCUUCAACAGAGGAAUGGAUACAGAAAAUGUGGUACAUCUACACAAUGGAAUAUUACUCAGCUAUCAAAAACAAUGACUUUAUGAAAUUCGUAGGCAAAUGGUUGGAACUGGAAAAUAUCAUCCUGAGUGAGCUAACCCAAACACAGAAAGACAUACAUGGUAUGCACUCACUGAUAAGUGGCUAUUAGCCCAAAGCUUGAAUUACCCUAGAUGCCUAGAACAAAUGAAACUCAAGACGGAUGAUCAAAAUGCGAAUGCUUCACUCUUCUUUAAAAGGGGAACAAGAAUACCUUUGGCAGGGAAGAGAGAGGCAAAGAUUAAAACAGAGAUUGAAGGAACACCCAUUCAGAGCCUGCCCCACAUGUGGCCCAUACAUAUACAGCCACCCAAUUAGACAAGAUGGAUGAAGCAAAGAAGUGCAGACCGACAGGAGCCGGAUGUAGAUCACUCCUGAGAGACACAGCCAGAAUACAGCAAAUACAGAGGCGAAUGCCAGCAGCAAACCACUGAACUGAGAAUAGGACCCCCGUUGAAGGAAUCAGAGAAAGAACUGGAAGAGCUUGAAGGGGCUCGAGGCCCCAUAUGUACAACAAUGCCAAGCAACCAGAGCUUCCAGGGACUAAGCCACUACCUAAAGACUAUACAUGGACUGACCUUGGACUCUGACCUCAUAGGUAGUAAGAGCACCAGUGGAAGGGGAAGCCCUGGGUCCUGCUAAGACUGAACCCCCAGUGAACUAGACUGUGGAGGGGAGGGCGGCAAUGGGGGGAGGGUUGGGAGGGGAACACCCAUAAGGAAGGGGAAGGGGGAGGGGGAUGUUUGCCCGGAGACCGGGAAAGGGAAUAACACUCGAAAUGUAUAUAAGAAAUACUCAAGUUAAUAAAAAAAAUAAAAUAAAAUAAAAAGAUAGUCAGUGGGGUCAGUAUUUAAACAUAGAUUUCUCUAAAUAUUCAUAAUUGAUAUCUUCAUUUCAUACAAAUUAGAGACAACAGUAAAAACACCCCGUAUGGUCUUCCCCACCCUAUCACAGGGGCUGCUAAGAUGGCUCUGUAGUCCCUCCAUCCUUCCGAAGGCUGAGUUUCUAUUGAUGUCCCACAAUGUGUCCUCUGAAACACCAGGUCAGGAACUGCGUCUCCGUUAUAGCUUACAAACACUAAACCGUCCAGAUCUGCCUUUUCGUAACUCCCCCUUUAUCGACUCUGGACUGUUGUCAACACCAACCUCCUAGACCCAAAAGCGUUGCUCUUACACGUCUUUUCAAAUCAGUCAAGAAAAGAGAGUCGGAUAUAACGGCUCAUGCCUUUAACUCAGUGCUUGGGACUGGGCAGACAGAACACUAUGAGUUCAAAGCCAGUGUGGGCUGCAUAGGGAGACCUCGCCUAAAAGAAAAGAGAGAGCACAAAUUUUAGGAAAAGCAUUAUUUUAGUCCACUGACUUUCCCCUAUUUUCUGUAAUCAAGGGCUUUUUUGUCUUAACGACUGUUUCUGUGUGGUUAUUUAUGUAUGUCGUGGGAAGUUUUUAUUUAUAUAAGGGAAGUCUAUCGAUGGCUACUCUUUUGGAAGGUGAUGCAUUGUAGUUUAUGAAGAUAUGGGUUAACAAGGAUAAUUAAUUCCUAGUUGCUGGAUGGAGGGAGCAGGUGGAGGAAGUCCCCACUGCUCGGUCAUGAGAAAUCUCUGUGGAUAAACUGGAGGUCUGCUACUAAUAAGCAGGUACCCAGCACACACACUCUCUUUUAUGCUCCUGAAGACAUGCCUCGCACACUUCUGUCUUUCCACCUUUCUCCGCAACCCUUGGCCUCCAUAUGAAUGGAGCUACAGGCCCUUACACAAACAUGUCAUCUUACUGCCUGAGUCUGACAUCCUUGGGCUUGAGUGUGUGUGUGUGGUGGGGCAGGGUGUGCCAUUAGUGACAUGACCCCUAUAGAAACAUAAGAAGGGGGCUUCCAAUGUCUGUGACUACGUAGGAAGCUAGGCACACCAUGUGUGCCUGUAAUUCCAGUGCUAGAGGAUGGAGAUGGGAAGCUCUUCCAUAAUCGUUGGUGUGUGAGCAUAGCCAAAUGGAUGAGCUCUGUGUUCAAUGAGAGAUCCUGUCUCAAAAAGUAAGGUGGGGAGUGAAUGAGGACAGCAUGGACAUCGACCUUUGGCCUCUGCAUGCACACAUGUACAUGUGUACACAUGCAUUGUACAUGCUGUCACACAUGCGAAAUGACAGAUAAGUAAAUCAGAGGUCUUCAAACUUCUCAACCUCAGGACACUCCAGGGACAUUAAUGACCCCGUUGUCAAUAGUCCAGUGACAGCCGUCAAUUUUAAUUAGAUACAGAGGGCUGGAGAGAAAACUCAGCGGUUGAGAGCACUGACUGCUCUUCCAGAGGUCCUGAGUUCAAAUCCCAGCAACCACAUGGUGGCUCACAACCAUCUGUAAUGGGAUCUGAUCCCCUUUUCUGGUGUGUCUGAGGACAGCUACAGUGUACUCACAUACAUAAAAUAAAUUUGAUAAAAUUUCUUUUAAAAAUAAUAGAUUCAGAACUUUGAAAGGAAAAGUGACAUUCUUCAUUGUCCUUUGGAUGUCCCCUCAUAAGAUGGUUGCCUCCUGACACUGAACCAUCUCCGGGCAGCUUCAGACUUCUGAGGGGAAUGGGGUGGUUCACUAUUCCCUUAAUGCCUGGGGCACCUAAUACACAACUACAGACGACUCGUUAAAGAGCAAUGUAUAGAUGACACCAGUCAUCCUCUCUGACUGAAGAUGAAAAUCCUGCUCCCCCUCCUCCAAAAGAGUCAGCACUGCCACCCUAUAGAAGGAAAAUAUCCCUAUGUGUUUCCAGAGUACAAAAAUACCAACCAACUUAGAAGGUAAGAGGAAGACCAUGUCUAGCUGAUCACACAGCCCUUGUUUCAUCCUUGUUUCGAACAAACUCCCUGUCCCCCUCCAUAGGAGAGAGCAGAUUUUUUUGCUGUUCAAUCCAAAAAAAAAAAAAAACCCACAA